rnacentral:rRNA from 1 species
AGAGUUUGAUCCUGGCUCAGAGCGAACGCUGGCGGCAGGCUUAACACAUGCAAGUCGAGCGGGCGUAGCAAUACGUCAGCGGCAGACGGGUGAGUAACGCGUGGGAACGUACCUUUUGGUUCGGAACAACACAGGGAAACUUGUGCUAAUACCGGAUAAGCCCUUACGGGGAAAGAUUUAUCGCCAAAAGAUCGGCCCGCGUCUGAUUAGCUAGUUGGUGAGGUAAUGGCUCACCAAGGCGACGAUCAGUAGCUGGUCUGAGAGGAUGAUCAGCCACAUUGGGACUGAGACACGGCCCAAACUCCUACGGGAGGCAGCAGUGGGGAAUAUUGGACAAUGGGCGCAAGCCUGAUCCAGCCAUGCCGCGUGAGUGAUGAAGGCCCUAGGGUUGUAAAGCUCUUUUGUGCGGGAAGAUAAUGACGGUACCGCAAGAAUAAGCCCCGGCUAACUUCGUGCCAGCAGCCGCGGUAAUACGAAGGGGGCUAGCGUUGCUCGGAAUCACUGGGCGUAAAGGGUGCGUAGGCGGGUCUUUAAGUCAGGGGUGAAAUCCUGGAGCUCAACUCCAGAACUGCCUUUGAUACUGAAGAUCUUGAGUUCGGGAGAGGUGAGUGGAACUGCGAGUGUAGAGGUGAAAUUCGUAUAUAUUCGCAAAACACCAGUGGCGAAGGCGGCUCACUGGCCCGAUACUGACGCUGAGGCACGAAAGCGUGGGGAGCAAACAGGAUUAGAUACCCUGGUACUCC